CAGUCGCCGCGGGAAUACGAAGGGGGCUAGCGUUGCUCGGGAUCACUGGGCGUAAAGGGUGCGUAGGCGGGUCUUUAAGUCAGGGGUGAAAUCCUGGAGCUCAACUCCAGAACUGCCUUUGAUACUGAAGAUCUUGAGUUCGGGAGAGGUGAGUGGAACUGCGAGUGUAGAGGUGAAAUUCGUAGAUAUUCGCAAGAACACCAGUGGCGAAGGCGGCUCACUGGCCCGAUACUGACGCUGAGGCACGAAAGCGUGGGGAGCAAACAGGAUUAGAUACCCCGGUAGUCCCUGUCUCUUAUAC
rnacentral:rRNA from 1 species